GACGAACGCUGGCGGCGUGCCUAAUACAUGCAAGUAGAACGCUGAAGAGAGGAGCUUGCUCUUCUUGGAUGAGUUGCGAACGGGUGAGUAACGCGUAGGUAACCUGCCUUGUAGCGGGGGAUAACUAUUGGAAACGAUAGCUAAUACCGCAUAACAAUGGAUGACACAUGUCAUUUAUUUGAAAGGGGCAAUUGCUCCACUACAAGAUGGACCUGCGUUGUAUUAGCUAGUAGGUGAGGUAAUGGCUCACCUAGGCGACGAUACAUAGCCGACCUGAGAGGGUGAUCGGCCACACUGGGACUGAGACACGGCCCAGACUCCUACGGGAGGCAGCAGUAGGGAAUCUUCGGCAAUGGGGGCAACCCUGACCGAGCAACGCCGCGUGAGUGAAGAAGGUUUUCGGAUCGUAAAGCUCUGUUGUAAGUCAGGAACGGGUGUGAGAGUGGAAAGUUCACACUGUGACGGUAGCUUACCAGAAAGGGACGGCUAACUACGUG
rnacentral:rRNA from 1 species